CUACUAAUGGAUUUAUUUUAUAUCUUUAUUUAUUAUUUGUUUUGCAUAUACAUAUUUUAAGAGACAGUGACCUACAUUGGACUACGAGAGGUGUGUGAUGCAAGACUCGAGACAAAGACAGAGUGAGGAAGGAAUAUAGGGAAGUACAAAAACAGAGAAGAAAGAAGCAUAUAUAUAAUCAUCAUCUAAGUAGAAAAGGGUAUGCUGGACUUGAAGAAGAGAUGAUGAUUGAAGCUGGCUCCACAGAAAGCAUUGAUAGAAGUUUACUUUGGAAGAGGGCAAUGCAAAAAAAAGAUGGCAGCUAUGAUGAUGUGGUCCUACCGAUA